GACGAACGCUGGCGGCGUGCUUAACACAUGCAAGUCGAACGGAAAAGCCCUUCGGGGUACUCGAGUGGCGAACGGGUGAGUAACACGUGGGUGAUCUGCCCUGCACUUUGGGAUAAGCCUGGGAAACUGGGUCUAAUACCGAAUAGGACCACGCGCUUCAUGGUGUGUGGUGGAAAGCUUUUGCGGUGUGGUAUGGGCCCGCGGCCUAUCAGCUUGUUGGUGGGGUACUGGCCUACCAAGGCGACGACGGGUAGCCGGCCUGAGAGGGUGACCGGCCACACUGGGACUGGGAUACGGCCCGGACGCCUACGGGAGGCAGCAGCGGGGAAUAUUGCACAAUGGGCGCAAUCCUGAUGCAGCGACGCCGCGUGGGGGAUGACGGCCUUCGGGUUGUAAACCUCUUUCAAUAGGGACGAAGCGCAAGUGACGGUACCUAUAGAAGAAGCACCGGCCAACUACGU
rnacentral:rRNA from 1 species